rnacentral:rRNA from 1 species
UUUGGUCGCUCGCAUUUAAAUUGGAAGGGUAAUGGUGGACCGCACUUCUCCCUUAGUAGGACGUUGCGACCUGUCAAAUAAUAUCCUAAGUAUUUGGCUAAUUUGUCUGUUUUUAGGCAGUACUGAAAGGUAUUUCCUUUAACAGUUUUAGCCGUUUAGAUACUGGAUAUAAUUGACAGUAACGAAUCAUGGUGUUGAGCCACUUACUUUGUAAGUGUCCUUUAUGGCUGUUUGCAAGUGGGUUGGUUAAUUAGUUUUAGUCGGAUUUCGGUCCGUCUAACUAUUCCGCCUACUGUUGGUAAACUGUUCCUUGGACAGUGCUUAUAACACCGGUCGGC